rnacentral:rRNA from 1 species
CCGGCGAGGGGAGUGAAAAAGAACCUGAAACCGUGUACGUACAAGCAGUGGGAGCACCCUUUUGGGUGUGACUGCGUACCUUUUGUAUAAUGGGUCAGCGACUUAUAUUCUGUAGCAAGGUUAACCGUAUAGGGGAGCCGCAGGGAAACCGAGUCUUAACCGGGCGUUAAGUUGCAGGGUAUAGACCCGAAACCCGGUGAUCUAGCCAUGGGCAGGUUGAAGGUUGGGUAACACUAACUGGAGGACCGAACCGACUAAUGUUGAAAAAUUAGCGGAUGACCUGUGGCU